rnacentral:rRNA from 1 species
AGUGAACGCUGGCGGUAGGCCUAACACAUGCAAGUCGAACGGCAGCACAGUAAGAGCUUGCUCUUACGGGUGGCGAGUGGCGGACGGGUGAGGAAUACAUCGGAAUCUACUUUUUCGUGGGGGAUAACGUAGGGAAACUUACGCUAAUACCGCAUACGACCUACGGGUGAAAGCAGGGGAUCUUCGGACCUUGCGCGAUUGAAUGAGCCGAUGUCGGAUUAGCUAGUUGGCGGGGUAAAGGCCCACCAAGGCGACGAUCCGUAGCUGGUCUGAGAGGAUGAUCAGCCACACUGGAACUGAGACACGGUCCAGACUCCUACGGGAGGCAGCGGUGGGGAAUAUUGGACAAUGGGCGCAAGCCUGAUCCAGCCAUACCGCGUGGGUGAAGAAGGCCUUCGGGUUGUAAAGCCCUUUUGUUGGGAAAGAAAAGCAGCAGGUUAACACCCCGCUGUUCUGACGGUACCCAAAGAAUAAGCACCGGCUAACUUCGUG